rnacentral:rRNA from 1 species
GAUUGUCAGUUUGUCGAGCUUGCUGAUACUUGAGCAAACCGUUCUGAACUUCUCGGGAGGCAAGCCGUAGAUCUCCAGCAUUCCAUCGAGCAACCCUCUAUGAUUUAGUUUUAUCUCAUAUACAUGCCAGUAUCUAGCCUAUAUAUGUAGCAACUCUGUCAGAAUUUUGAUAACCUCAAAAUCUGGUUACAGUACUCGGUAUAAUUCUCGAUAUCUUCCUUUCGAUGGGUUAUUAUUAUCUCUCCUGUAUCCUUUCUUCACUUUACCGUGUACUGUGUGUAGGGACUCCAGUCCAGUUUAGGACACAAGCUUGGGGAGUUGCACACCGACUGCACCUAGUACCGUAAAAGCUGCACGGCCGGUGGCACCCCUGUUCCCGAGCUUCAGUACCGGAGCAUUGAGCGCGCGCCGCUCCCCGGCACCCUGGAGAACGAGGCCGCCAUAAGGACGCCGGUGGCCGUGCGGUUGGAGGACCCGAGUAGGACCCUCCUGAGGUCGGCCCUGUCCUUGGAAGCGGCGGGUGCUUCGGGGACGGACCAGGCGCACGGCCUCGCACGAGAGCGCGCCGACGACGUCGGUGGCGCAGGCAAGAGGGGUCGCGCCGCAGUCGAGGAGGCGAGGGCGAGGACCGCCGGCGGCCUAGUCGAGUUACCCGGCAGCGAGGGCGUGGGCCGUGGCGGCGGUGAGGACGAGCGCGGAGGAGGAGGAGGAGGAGGAGCUUUUGCAGCAGCCCCAUGGAGGCGGAGGAGAUGGGUCCGGCACGAGGUUUGGUCCCCUGAGGGAGAGGAGAGGAGCAGCAGGAGGGGUGGAUGAGGACAGGGCCAUCUUGUGAAAUUUCUC